GCUGGAGUUACUAGUAAUCGCAGAUCAGAAUGCUGCGGUGAAUGCGUUCCCGGGUCUUGUACACACCGCCCGUCACACCAUGAGAGUCGGGAACACCCGAAGUCCGUAGCCUAACCGCAAGGAGGGCGCGGCCGAAGGUGGGUUCGAUAAUUGGGGUGAAGUCGUAACAAGGUACC
rnacentral:rRNA from 1 species